rnacentral:rRNA from 1 species
UGGGGAAUUUUGGACAAUGGGCGAAAGCCUGAUCCAGCAAUGCCGCGUGUGUGAAGAAGGCCUUCGGGUUGUAAAGCACUUUUGUCCGGAAAGAAAUCCUUGGCUCUAAUACAGUCGGGGGAUGACGGUACCGGAAGAAUAAGCACCGGCUAACUACGUGCCAGCAGCCGCGGUAAUACGUAGGGUGCAAGCGUUAAUCGGAAUUACUGGGCGUAAAGCGUGCGCAGGCGGUUUGCUAAGACCGAUGUGAAAUCCCCGGGCUCAACUUGGGAACUGCAUUGGUGACUGGCAGGCUAGAGUAUGGCAGAGGGGGGUAGAAUUCCACGUGUAGCAGUGAAAUGCGUAGAGAUGUGGAGGAAUACCGAUGGCGAAGGCAGCCCCCUGGGCCAAUACUGACGCUCAUGCACGAAAGCGUGGGGAGCAAACAGGAUUAGAUACCCUGGUAGUCCACGCCCUAAACGAUGUCAACUAGUUGUGGGGAUUCAUUUCCUUAGUAACGUAGCUAACGCGUGAAGUUGGCCGCCUGGGGAGUACGGUCGCAAGAUU